rnacentral:rRNA from 1 species
UACGUAGGGGGCAAGCGUUGUCCGGAUUCAUUGGGCGUAAAGAGCGUGUAGGCGGCCAGGUAGGUCGGUUGUGAAACUGGAGGCUCAACCUUCAGACGUCGACCGAAACCAUCUGGCUAGAGUCCGGGAGAGGAGAGUGGAAUUCCUGGUGUAGCGGUGAAAUGCGCAGAUAUCAGGAAGAACACCCGUGGCGAAAGCGGCUCUCUGGAACGGCACUGACGCUGAGACGCGAAAGCGUGGGGAGCGAACAGG